UUUUGUAUCCAUUCAGAGAUGUUCUAUGCAACUGCACUCAAGAUAUUCUGUUAUUGCAGCACCAGUGGAUGAGCACAGGGAAUGACUGAGCCAUAAGAUGAAAGGAUUCUGGAUGGGCAAAUGGAAUGCUCUGUUCCUGACAUGGAAUAACCCUGGCAGAGGCAUGACUUCUCAGUUCAUAGUUAAGG